rnacentral:rRNA from 1 species
GCUCAGGAUGAACGCUGGCGGCGUGCCUAAUACAUGCAAGUCGAACGAGGUGCUUUUGUAGCAAUACGAGAGUAUCCUAGUGGCGAACGGGUGAGUAACGCGUUGGUGACCUACCCCAAAGUGUGGGAUAACAGUCCGAAAGGAUUGCUAAUACCGCAUGUGGUCAUUGGAUUUAGAAACUGAUGACUAAAGGAGCAAUUCGCUUUGGGAGGGACCUGCGUCCCAUCAGCUAGUUGGUGAGGUAACGGCUCACCAAGGCGACGACGGGUAGGGGACCUGAGAGGGUGGCCCCCCACAAUGGAACUGAAACACGGUCCAUACACCUACGGGUGGCAGCAGUAGGGAAUAUUGCACAAUGGGCGAAAGCCUGAUGCAGCAACGCCGCGUGUGUGAUGAAGGCCUUCGGGUCGUAAAGCACUUUUCUGGGAGAUGAGAAAGGACAGUAUCCCAGGAAUAAGUCUCGGCUAACUACGUGCCAGCAGCCGCGGUAAAACGUAGGAGGCAAGCGUUAUCCGGAUUCACUGGGCGUAAAGCGCGUGCAGGUGGUGUGGUAAGUUAGGCGUGAAAUCUCCCGGCUCAACUGGGAGAGGUCGUCUAAUACUACCGUACUAGAGAGCAGAAGAGGAAGAUGGAAUUCCCGGUGUAGUGGUGAAAUGCGUAGAUAUCGGGAGGAACACCAGUGGCGAAGGCGAUCUUCUGGUCUGUUUCUGACACUCAGACGCGACAGCUAGGGUAGUAAACGGGAUUAGAGACCCCGGUAAUCCUAGCCGUAAACGAUGUGAACUUGGCGUUGGUGGGUUAAACUCCAUCAGUGCCGUAGCAAACGCGAUAAGUUCACCGCCUGGGGACUACGGGCCGCAGGUUAAAACUCAAAG